rnacentral:rRNA from 1 species
AUUGAACGCUGGCGGCAGGCUUAACACAUGCAAGUCGAGCGGGGGAAGGUAGCUUGCCACCGGACCUAGCGGCGGACGGGUGAGCAAUGCUUAGGAAUCUGCCUAUUAGUGGGGGACAACAUCUCGAAAGGGAUGCUAAUACCGCAUACGUCCUACGGGAGAAAGCAGGGGAUCUUCGGACCUUGCGCUAAUAGAUGAGCCUAAGUCGGAUUAGCUAGUUGGUGGGGUAAAGGCCUACCAAGGCGACGAUCUGUAGCGGGUCUGAGAGGAUGAUCCGCCACACUGGGACUGAGACACGGCCCAGACUCCUACGGGAGGCAGCAGUGGGGAAUAUUGGACAAUGGGGGGAACCCUGAUCCAGCCAUGCCGCGUGUGAAGAAGGCCUUAUGGUUGUAAAGCACUUUAAGCGAGGAGGAGGCUACUCUAGUUAAUACCUAGGGAUAGUGGACGUUACUCGCAGAAUAAGCACCGGCUAACUCUGUGCCAGCCGCCGCCGUAA